rnacentral:sRNA from 1 species
UUAAAAUAGAAAUAAAUAUGUUAGAUUUUGUUUUAUUGUAAAGGCGGCAUACAAAAUAUUUAUUGAGUUUGUACAUUAGAAACCUUUGGUUAUUUUGAUUGGAUAAAAUAUGUUUUGGGGUUUUCAUCAUAAAUCUAUUCAUAUAUAAUAAUUAAAUAAAAAUAUAUGGUCAAAGUAUAGUUGUUCCUCAUACUUUUGAAAAU